AUGGGGGCAACCCCGACGAGGGAAAGCCAAGUGCCAGCACAAUGUGCUGGCUGUUUUCCUGUCUAAAAAACAGGGAGAGUAAGGGCUGGGUAAGACGGGUGCCAGCCGCCGCGGUAAUACCUGCAGCCCAAGUGGUGCUCGUUAUUAUUGGGUCUAAAACGUCCGUAGUCGGUUGAGUAGAUGCCCGGGUAAAUCGCAGCGCUCAACGUUGCGAAUUCCGGGUAGACCGCUCGACUAGGGAGUGGGAGAGGUGCAUAGUACUCUGAGGGUAGGGGUAAAAUCCUGUAAUCCUUGGGGGACUACCAGUGGCGAAGGCGAUGCACUAGAACACGUCCGACGAUCAGGGACGAAGCCCUGGGGCGCAAACGGGAUUAGAUACCCGCGUAGUCC
rnacentral:rRNA from 1 species